ensembl:lncRNA
GGAGGCUAUAUGCAGCAGAUUCCGGUACAGAGUCAAUAUGGAGGCUAUAUACAUCAGGUUCCAGUACAGAGUCAAUAUGGAGGCUGUAUGCACCAGGUUCCGGUACAGGUACAGAGUCUAUAUGGAGGCUAUAUGCAGCAGAUUCCGGUACAGAGUCUAUAUGGAGGCUAUAUACAGCAGGUUCCGGUACAGAGUCGAUAUGGAGGCUAUAUACAGCAGUUUCCGGUACAGAGUCAAUAUGGAGGCUAUAUACAGCAGGUUCCGGUACAGAGUCAAUAUGGAGGCUAUAUACAGCAGGUUCCGGUACAGAGUCAAUAUGGAGGCUAUAUACAGCAGAUUCCGGUACAGAGUCAAUAUGGAGGCUAUAUACAGCAGGUUCCAGUACAGAGUCAAUAUGGAGGCUGUAUGCACCAGGUUCCGGUACAGGUACAGAGUCUAUAUGGAGGCUAUAUACAGCAGGUUCCGGAACAGAGUCUAUAUGGAGGCUUUACACAGCAGGUUCUGGUACAGGGUCAAUAUUGAGGCU